rnacentral:rRNA from 1 species
AUUGAACGCUGGCGGCAGGCCUAACACAUGCAAGUCGAGCGGAUGAGGGGAGCUUGCUCCUGGAUUCAGUGGCGGACGGGUGAGUAAUGCCUAGGAAUCUGCCUGGUAGUGGGGGAUAACGUCCGGAAACGGGCGCUAAUACCGCAUACGUCCUGAGGGAGAAAGUGGGGGAUCUUCGGACCUCACGCUAUCAGAUGAGCCUAGGUCGGAUUAGCUAGUUGGUGGGGUAAAGGCCUACCAAGGCGACGAUCCGUAACUGGUCUGAGAGGAUGAUCAGUCACACUGGAACUGAGACACGGUCCAGACUCCUACGGGAGGCAGCAGCGGGGAAUAUUGGACAAUGGGCGGAAGCCUGAUCCAGCCAUGCCGCGUGUGUGAAGAAGGUCUUCGGAUUGUAAAGCACUUUAAGUUGGGAGGAAGGGCAGUAAGUUAAUACCUUGCUGUUUUGACGUUACCAACAGAAUAAGCACCGGCUAACUUCGUG